rfam:Rhodnius prolixus Rhodnius_prolixus-3.0.3-49.37, whole genome shotgun sequence.
GUCAGGUUGGCCGAGCGGUCUAAGGCGCCAGAUUUAAGCUCUGGUUCCCGGUUGGGAGCGUGGGUUCGAACCCCACACCUGACA